GACGGGGGAUGCAAGUGUUAUCCGGAAUCACUGGGCGUAAAGCGUCUGCAGGUGGUUUCCUAAGUCCACUGUUAAACCUUGAGGCUCAACCUCAAAUCUGCAUUGGAAACUAGGAGACUUGAGUAUAGUAGGGGUAGAGGGAAUUCCUGGUGUAGCGGUGAAAUGCGUAGAGAUCAGGAAGAACACCCGUGGCGAAGGCGGUUCUCUGGGACGGUACUGACGCUGAGACGCGAAAGCGUGGGGAGCGAACAGG
rnacentral:rRNA from 1 species